UACGUAGGGUGCGAGCGUUGUCCGGAGUUAUUGGGCGUAAAGCGCGCGCAGGCGGCUCGGUAAGUCGGAUGUGAAAACCCGAGGCUUAACCUCGGGCCGUCAUUCGAUACUGUCGAGCUCGAGGCGGGUAGGGGAGAUCGGAAUUCCCGGUGUAGCGGUGAAAUGCGCAGAUAUCGGGAGGAACACCAGUGGCGAAGGCGGCUUCCUGGCCCGAUCCUGACGCUGAGGUGCGAAAGCGUGGGGAGCGAUCCGGAUUAGAAACCC
rnacentral:rRNA from 1 species